rnacentral:tRNA from 1 species
UCCCUUGUAGCUCAGUUGGUAAAGAACCUGUCUACAAUUCAGGAGACCUGGGUUCGAUUCCUGGGUUGGGAA